CCUACGGGGGGCAGCAGUCGAGAAUCAUUCACAAUGGGGGCAACCCUGAUGGUGCGACGCCGCGUGGGGGAAUGCAGGUCUUCGGAUUGUAAACCCCUGUCAUGUGGGAGCAAAUUAAAAAGAUAGUACCACAAGAGGAAGAGACGGCUAACUACGUUACAGCAGCCGCGGUAAUACGGAGGGGGCAAGCGUUAUCCGGAUUUACUGGGUGUAAAGGGAGCGUAGAGGGCGAUGCAAGUCUGAAGUGAAAAGGGGGGGCCCAACCCCUGGACUGCUGUGGAAACUGUAUGGUGGGAGUGCGGGAGAGGUAAGUGGAAUGCCAGGUGUAGGAGUGAAAUCCGUAGAUAUCUGGAGGAACAUCAGUGGCGAAGGCGACUAUCUGGCACAUAACUGACGCUGAGGAGCGAAAGCGUGGGUAGCGAACAGGAUUAGAUACCCGAGUAGUC
rnacentral:rRNA from 1 species